AGUUUUAUAGUCAAAAAUGAUAUUAAAUUGCAAAUUUAAAGGAGUAAAUGAAUAAAAAUUACUAAAACUU
rnacentral:tRNA from 1 species